ACUCCUACGGAAGGCAGCAGUGGGGAAUAUUGCACAAUGGGCGAAAGCCUGAUGCAGCAACGCCGCGUGAGCGAUGAAGGCCUUCGGGUCGUAAAGCUCUGUCCUAUGGGAAGAUAAUGACGGUACCAUAGGAGGAAGCCCCGGCUAACUACGUGCCAGCAGCCGCGGUAAU
rnacentral:rRNA from 1 species